CUCGUUUGGCAACCUCUAAUAAUGUAUGGCCACCUUUAGUCAGCGACUCUCUCUGGACAUGAGUAACUAAGUGCUUCAGUGAGUCUUCAGAACAGACCCCUGCAGCUUUCACUGUGAGCAGAAAUACCUCUGUACCUAUGUGUCUCUCAAAAACACUGGGGGGGGUUACAGCAGGGGCAGGGACCUGAGAGUAAUCCCAGUGGGCCCCGGACCCCCAGCCCGACCCUGACAACAUAUGUAAGGGCACAGCUUGCCGCUAGACAUGUAAAGUCAAAUGUGGUAACAACUAAGCUGGUAUGCAAGAAUAUGAUAAAAAAAAUGUUAUUUCAGAUACUGGAGCAUACAACUACCAGCAUCCUCCCUGCUAGUGCAGGAAUAUGUGGAAGUGCCACAACAGGAUCAAACUUUUUGUUUUAUAUGUGACAUUUGGUACUAAAGUUACACUUCAUUUUCCAACGGUCGCACUCAUCCUAGCAACAGUCAGUGGCCUCAGCACUGUGUGGAUGACAGUUCAGAGAGGCUUAAAGGGGAAGGAAACCUAGUCGGCGCAAACAGUGUAGAAGGAUAAAGAGCUGACUGUCAUUUAGGGCAUCUGGGGAUCUAGAAGUGUCAGGGUCCACAGCCCCCAUUAUGCUCCUGCUCACAAUCUCUUAUUAUUUCUCCCCAAAAAGUGAAAUAUUCAGAGCAAUUUGCGAGAGACCGAUUUGAGAGAGAAAGCGAUUGUGAGAGAGAUAGCAAAAGAAGAAGAGAGAGAGAAGCAAAGAGAAGAGAAGACAAAGAAGAAAGAAGACCUUGAGUGACCCCCUGCCAGAGAUUAAUAACAUCUUCUCAUUUGGGAUCCUCUGGACAAAGGGGUGUCGGAGAUGGGCUUGUGUUCAAGCAAGGACCGCCUUUACAUAAAAGGCUAUCGCCAGGACUCACAGUGGAUCUACAGGAAGGAGGAGGGGAUCUGUGAGAUGACGGAUUUGGAGCGCAUGAGGAAGGAAAUCAUAGGCGAAAUCAAAUAACCAAGCUAUGAUUAUUGUAUGGCCAGAGACUGCCUGGAAUUCACCAGAUGGUAGAAAAUCAGAUUGAUGGCUAAGGUCCUGCAGGACAAGAUGAAGGCCAAAGCCCAACUGAAAUCCCUCUACAAACAACUAGAGGAGAUAAAGCGGGCAAUUUUCAGGAAGUUCAUCGAUACAUAUCCAGAGAGCCCACCAGCUGCCAGAACCGUCGCAAUUUAAACAAUACCACGUAUCGAUGCACCUCUGUGUAGGUGAUCUUCAUGACACAGAGAAAAUGAAUAUUCUCCUACGCAGAGGAGGACAAAGUCAUCAAAUUCAAGUACCCGGAGGGCCAAGAAAA